UACGAAGGUGGCAAGCGUUGUUCGGAUUUACUGGGCGUACAGGGAGCGUAGGCGGUUGGAUAAGCCCUCCGUGAAAUCUCCAGGCUUAACCUGGAAAGUGCAGAGGGGACUGUUCAGCUAGAGGAUGGGAGAGGAGCGCGGAAUUCCCGGUGUAGCGGUGAAAUGCGUAGAGAUCGGGAGGAAGGCCGGUGGCGAAGGCGGCGCUCUGGAACAUUUCUGACGCUGAGGCUCGAAAGCGUGGGAGGCAAACAGGG
rnacentral:rRNA from 1 species